rnacentral:rRNA from 1 species
AGCAGCCGCGGUAAUUCCAGCUCCAAUAGCGUAUAUUAAAGUUGUUGCAGUUAAAAAGCUCGUAGUUGAAUUUCGGAAUCUGUCCGUCGGUCGGGCUUAACUGUCCGUACUGGUGUGAUGGGUUCUUACCUUCUGAAUAACCAGCAUGCCAUUUAUUUGGUGCGUCGGGGAAGCAGGACUAUUACCUUGAAAAAAUUAGAGUGCUCAAAGCAGGCUAGUGCCUGAAUAUAUUAGCAUGGAAUAAUAAAAUAGGACGGCAUGGUUCUAUUUUGUUGGUUUCUAGGAUCACCGUAAUGAUUAAUAGGGAUAGUUGGGGGCAUUAGUAUUCAAUUGUCAGAGGUGAAAUUCUUGGAUUUAUUGAAGACUAACUUCUGCGAAAGCAUUUGCCAAGGAUGUUUUCAUUAAUCAAGAACGAAAGUUAGGGGAUCGAAGACGAUCAGAUACCGUCGUAGUCUUAACCAUAAACUAUGCCGACUAGGGAUCGGACGAUGUUAAUUUUUAAUGACUUCGUUCGGCGUCC